GGGCGUGUAGCUCAGUCGGUUAGAGCGCCACACUGAUAAUGUGGAGGUCCCUGGUUCGAGUCCAGGCAUGCCCACCA
rnacentral:tRNA from 1 species